rfam:Triticum urartu cultivar G1812 contig1060552, whole genome shotgun sequence.
ACUCAGUUGGUAGAGGACAAGAUUCUUAACCUUGUGGACGUGGGUUCAAUCCCCAU